rnacentral:lncRNA from 1 species
GUGCGAGCGAGCUGAAUGCAGCCGAGGGGCGAGCGCGCGGGCUCGCACGGAUUAGCCGUGCUUUCCCAUGAGCCACAAAAGAAUGCCCGAAUCUGGGACAUCUGUCAUCAAGGGGCAGGCUGCUCAGGAUGCAAGGAAGUUUGUGGAUUCCUGCAAGGAUUCAAGUGACUCACAUCAAUGAAGGCGGUGAAUAUGUUGGACCCAAACACCAUCGGAAACAUCUUUGUCAGCAGGGAGCAGAAGUUAUAUUAAUUAAAAUGUACUAAGAAGGCACAGGGUGCCCUCCCAACGAGUUACAAAUUAUUUUAAUCCUAAAUAAGGAUGUUGCCUCCUGGCAUCUUGUACUGCAGGGAAUUAGAAUAGAAACGUCUGUGGCAUUUCUAGAAGUAGGGUCAGCAGGCUCAGAUGGGAUCUCUCAAGUUAGGAGCUGGACACAUUUUGAUAGAGAGCCACCAAUUCAAUUAAGUGAUAUUUAGUCAAUCUCCUCUACGUAUUCAGAGAAGAUUAGGAAAAG